rnacentral:rRNA from 1 species
CCUACGGGUGGCAGCAGUCGAGAAUCAUUCACAAUGGGGGAAACCCUGAUGGUGCGACGCCGCGUGGGGGAAUGAAGGUCUUCGGAUUGUAAACCCCUGUCAUGUGGGAGCAAAUUAAAAAGAUAGUACCACAAGAGGAAGAGACGGCUAACUCUGUGCCAGCAGCCGCGGUAAUACAGAGGUCUCAAGCGUUGUUCGGAAUCACUGGGCGUAAAGCGUGCGUAGGCUGUUUCGUAAGUCGUGUGUGAAAGGCGCGGGCUCAACCCGCGGACGGCACCUGAUACUGCGAGACUAGAGUAAGGGAGGGGGAAGCGGAAUUCUCGGUGUAGCAGUGAAAUGCGUAGAUAUAGAGAGGAACACUCGUGGCGAAGGCGGGUUCCUGGACAUUAACUGACGCUGAGGCACGAAGGCCAGGGGAGCGAAAGGGAUUAGAUACCCGAGUAGUC